UGGGGAAUUUUGGACAAUGGGUGAAACCCUGAUCCAGCCAUCCCGCGUGUGCGAUGAAGGCCUUCGGGUUGUAAAGCACUUUUGGCAGGAAAGAAACGUCAUGGGUUAAUACCCCGUGAAACUGACGGUACCUGCAGAAUAAGCACCGGCUAACUACGUGCCAGCAGCCGCGGUAAUACGUAGGGUGCAAGCGUUAAUCGGAAUUACUGGGCGUAAAGCGUGCGCAGGCGGUUCGGAAAGAAAGAUGUGAAAUCCCAGAGCUCAACUUUGGAACUGCAUUUUUAACUACCGGGCUAGAGUGUGUCAGAGGGAGGUGGAAUUCCGCGUGUAGCAGUGAAAUGCGUAGAUAUGCGGAGGAACACCGAUGGCGAAGGCAGCCUCCUGGGAUAACACUGACGAUCAUGCACGAAAGCGUGGGGAGCAAACAGG
rnacentral:rRNA from 1 species